AACGCAAAUUGCACUCCCUGGUAUUCUGGGGAGUAUGCCUGUUUGAGGGUCGUUAGAAUAAAAAUCGAGGCAUCGCUCUUUUUUUUAAGGGUGAUCGCGUCGGAAUUGAGCCGUCUUUCAAAUGUUAAUUCAUGUCAAAGUGGCUUAAAAUUCAUCCAUCCGGUACGAUUAAAGCGUAUUUAAGAUCAAUUUUGAUUAAGAACGCGCGAUGACGUACCAUCUCAUGUAGUACGUUUGACUUGGCGUCGUCAGGAUCAUUCGUAUACGAUACUCAAACUUUUGACCUCAAAUCAGGUAAGAAUACCCGCUGAACUUAA
rnacentral:misc_RNA from 1 species